rnacentral:lncRNA from 1 species
CCCUCACACAGGCGGGCCGCCCACGGGCCCCGCGCAGGCGUGUGGAGAGCUGCGCAGCGGGAAAGCGGGUAAGUAAGUGGUAAAAAACCGAAGUAAGUAGUGCUGUUUCUUUCUUCCCCAAGUUAAUUGCGGCGCCCCGUCCUAGGUCUUGCCUUGUUUUGCAAAUCGCAAUAUCCCAGAACGGCUGAGGUUGGAAGGAACCGCAGCGGGUCAGCUGGUCCAAACUCAUCCUACAGCACAUGACACAGGAUCCCAUCCAGAUGAUUCUUGAAUAUCUCAAAUGAGGGAGACUCCACAACUUCCCUGGGCAACCUGUUCCAGUGCAUGGUCACCCACACAAUACAGUUUUUCCUCGUGUGGAGUUGGAACUUCCCGUGCAUCAAGUUAUUCCCAUUGCCUCUUGUCCUGUUGCUUAGCACCACCAAGCAGAGCCUGGCUCCAUUCUCUGACACCCUCCCUUCAGAUACUGAUAGACAUUGAAGAAGCCCACACUCGAGGCUGAACAGCUACCUCAGCCUUUCCUCAUAAGAAAGAUGCUCCGGUUGACUAUUCAUCCUUGUUGCACUCCUCUGGUUGCUCCAGGAGCUCCACGUCUCUUGUACUGAGGAAUAAAGAACUGAACACACCACUUCUGAUGCAGUCCCACCAGGGCUGAGUAGAGGAGCAGAAUCAACCCCCUCAAUCUGCUGACAAUGCUCUUCCCCAGGACACCACUGGUGCUCUCGGCCACAGGGGCACUGCCUGGGCUCAUGGACAGCUUGUUGUCCACGAGGACCCCCAGGUCUUUCUCUGAAGAGCUGCUUUCCAGCAGGUCAGUGGUAAUGAUAAGCUUUUACCCCAAAGUGCGGAACCUGAUGUAUGUCUGCAUUUUUUUUCCCAGUCCUUCAUGUCAGUGAAGAACUUGGAAACUGGCAGAAGCACUCCAGGAUUAAGGAUAAUUUUUUGGUCAUGGAAUAGUCAAUGGAGGAGAAGGGAUGGGAUGUACUUGCUGGGGGAACCACAACUUACAUUGAGUAUAAUUCUGAUUUCCAAACUCAAUUGUGCCAAGUUUGUUUUCCUCAGCUCUGAAGAGGUGAACAAGGUGGUUCUUCCAAGGCUUCUUGGAAGAACAAAGCUUCUUACAAGAUGGGAACAAGCAAGGAAAAACUUGAUGGGUUAA